rnacentral:rRNA from 1 species
GACAGAGGGUGCAAGCGUUGUUCGGAAUUAUUGGGCGUAAAGCGCGCGUAGGCGGCUUGGUAAGUCGAAUGUGAAAGCCCGUGGCUCAACCAUGGAAGUGCAUUCGAAACUGCUUGGCUGGAGUAUCGGAGAGGGUGGUGGAAUUCCCAGUGUAGAGGUGAAAUUCGUAGAUAUUGGGAGGAACACCAGUGGCGAAGGCGACCACCUGGACGAUGACUGACGCUGAGGCGCGAGAGCGUGGGGAGCAAACAGG